rnacentral:rRNA from 1 species
GACGAACGCUGGCGGCGUGCUUAACACAUGCAAGUCGAACGGUAAGGCCCCUUCGGGGGUACACGAGUGGCGAACGGGUGAGUAACACGUGGGUGAUCUGCCCUGCACUUCGGGAUAAGCCUGGGAAACUGGGUCUAAUACCGGAUAGGACCACGCCCUGCAUGGGGGGGGGUGGAAAGCUUUUGCGGUGUGGGAUGGGCCCGCGGCCUAUCAGCUUGUUGGUGGGGUGAUGGCCUACCAAGGCGACGACGGGUAGCCGGCCUGAGAGGGUGUCCGGCCACACUGGGACUGAGAUACGGCCCAGACUCCUACGGGAGGCAGCAGUGGGGAAUAUUGCACAAUGGGCGCAAGCCUGAUGCAGCGACGCCGCGUGGGGGAUGACGGCCUUCGGGUUGUAAACCUCUUUCAGUACCGACGAAGCGCAAGUGACGGUAGGUACAGAAGAAGCACCGGCCAACUACGUG